rnacentral:rRNA from 1 species
UGGGGAAUAUUGCACAAUGGGGGAAACCCUGAUGCAGCGAUGCCGCGUGGAGGAAGAAGGUUUUCGGAUUGUAAACUCCUGUUGAAGAGGACGAUAAUGACGGUACCUGAGUAAGAAGCUCCGGCUAAAUACGUGCCAGCAGCCGCGGUAAUACGUAUGGAGCAAGCGUUAUCCGGAUUUACUGGGUGUAAAGGGAGUGUAGGCGGCUUUGCAAGUCAGAUGUGAAAGCCCGGGGCUCAACCCCGGGACUGCAUUUGAAACUGUGAAGCUGGAGUGUCGGAGAGGUAAGUGGAAUUCCUAGUGUAGCGGUGAAAUGCGUAGAUAUUAGGAAGAACACCAGUGGCGAAGGCGGCUUACUGGACGAUUACUGACGCUGAGGCUCGAAAGCGUGGGGAGCAAACAGGAUUAGAUACCCUGGUAGU